CUUAAAGCCGUUCUCAGUUCGGACUGUAGGCUGCAACUCGCCUACACGAAGCUGGAAUCGCUAGUAAUCGCGGAUCAGCACGCCGCGGUGAAUACGUUCCCGGGCCUUGUACACACCGCCCGUCACACCAUGGGAGCCGGUAAUACCCGAAGUCAGUAGUCCAACCUCGUGAGGACGCUGCCGAAGGUAGGAUUGGCGACUGGGGUGAAGUCGUAACAAGGUAGC
rnacentral:rRNA from 1 species